ACGGGGCCCGCACAAGCGGUGGAGUAUGUGGUUUAAUUCGAUGCAACGCGAAGAACCUUACCUGGUCUUGACAUCCCGGAGACCCUUAGGAAACUAGGGGGUGCUUCCAUCUGGAAGAAUCUGGAGACAGGUGCUGCAUGGCUGUCGUCAGCUCGUGUCGUGAGAUGUUGGGUUAAGUCCCGCAACGAGCGCAACCCUUGCCUUUAGUUGCCAGCAGUUCGGCUGGGCACUCUAAAGGGACUGCCGGUGUUAAACCGGAGGAAGGUGGGGAUGACGUCAAGUCCUCAUGGCCUUUAUGACCAGGGCUACACACGUACUACAAUGGCCGAUACAAAGGGCAGCGACACUGCGAGGUGAAGCCAAUCCCGUAAAAUCGGUCUCAGUCCGGAUUGGAGUCUGCAACUCGACUCCAUGAAGUUGGAAUCGCUAGUAAUCGUGGAUCAGCAUGCCACGGUGAAUGCGUUCCCGGGCCUU
rnacentral:rRNA from 1 species